GCCUACGGCCACAUCAUCCUGAACGUGCCCGAUCUCGGAAGCUAAGCAGGGUCAGCCUGGUGAGCACUUGGAUUUUCUGGGUAGGCAUGAUGUCAUCGUAAGAA
rnacentral:rRNA from 1 species